rnacentral:rRNA from 1 species
GGUUAAGCGACUAAGCGUACACGGUGGAUGCCCUGGCAGUCAGAGGCGAUGAAGGACGUGCUAAUCUGCGAAAAGCGUCGGUAAGGUGAUAUGAACCGUUAUAACCGGCGAUGUCCGAAUGGGGAAACCCAGUGCAAUUCGUUGCACUAUCGUUAACUGAAUACAUAGGUUAACGAGGCGAACCGGGGAACUGAAACAUCUAAGUACCCCGAGGAAAAGAAAUCAACCGAGAUUCCCCAGUAGCGGCGAGCGAACGGGGAGCAGCCCAGAGUCUGAAUCAGCUUGUGUGUUAGUGGAACGGUCUGGAAAGUCCGACGGUACAGGGUGAUAGUCCCGUACACCAAAAUGCACAGGUUGUGAACUCGAAGAGUAGGGCGGGACACGUGGUAUCCUGUCUGAAUAUGGGGACCAUCCUCCAAGGCUAAAUACUCCUGACUGACCGAUAGUGAACCAGUACCGUGAGGGAAAGGCGAAAAGAACCCCGGCGAGGGAGUGAAAAAGAACCUGAAACCGUGUACGUACAAGCAGUGGGAGCACCUUCGGGUGUGACUGCGUACCUUUGUAUAAUGGGUCAGCGACUUAUAUUCUGUAGCAAGGUUAACCGUAUAGGGAGCCGCAGGAAACCGAGUCUUAACUGGGCGUUAAGUUGCAGGGUAUAGACCCGAAACCCGGUGAUCUAGCCAUGGGCAGGUUGAAGGUUGGGUAACACUAACUGGAGGACCGAACCGACUAAUGUUGAAAAAUUAGCGGAUGACUUGUGGCUGGGGUGAAAGGCCAAUCAAACCGGGAGAUAGCUGGUUCUCCCGAAAGCUAUUUAGGUAGCGCCUCGUGAAUUCAUCUUCGGGGUAGAGCACUGUUUCGGCUAGGGGUCAUCCCGACUUACCAACCCGAUGCAAACUACGAAUACCGAAGAAUGUUAUCACGGGAGACACACGGCGGGUGCUAACGUCCGUCGUGAAGAGGGAAACAACCCAGACCGCCAGCUAAGGUCCCAAAGUCAUGGUUAAGUGGGAAACGAUGUGGGAAGGCACAGACAGCCAGGAUGUUGGCUUAGAAGCAGCCAUCAUUUAAAGAAAGCGUAAUAGCUCACUGGUCGAGUCGGCCUGCGCGGAAGAUGUAACGGGGCUAAACCAUGCACCGAAGCUGCGGCAGCGACACUAUGUGUUGUUGGGUAGGGAGCGUUCUGUAAGCCUGCGAAGGUGUGCUGUGAGGCAUGCUGGAGGUAUCAGAAGUGCGAAUGCUGACAUAAGUAACGAUAAAGCGGGUGAAAAGCCCGCUCGCCGGAAGACCAAGGGUUCCUGUCCAACGUUAAUCGGGGCAGGGUGAGUCGACCCCUAAGGCGAGGCCGAAAGGCGUAGUCGAUGGGAAACAGGUUAAUAUUCCUGUACUUGGUGUUACUGCGAAGGGGGACGGAGAAGGCUAUGUUAGCCGGGCGACGGUUGUCCCGGUUUAAGCAUGUAGGCUGAUUAUCCAGGCAAAUCCGGAUAAUCAAGGCUGAGGUGUGAUGACGAGGCACUACGGUGCUGAAGUAACAAAUGCCCUGCUUCCAGGAAAAGCCUCUAAGCAUCAGGUAACAUCAAAUCGUACCCCAAACCGACACAGGUGGUCAGGUAGAGAAUACCAAGGCGCUUGAGAGAACUCGGGUGAAGGAACUAGGCAAAAUGGUGCCGUAACUUCGGGAGAAGGCACGCUGGUGUGUAGGUGAAGCCCCUGCGGGUGGAGCUGAGACCAGUCGAAGAUACCAGCUGGCUGCAACUGUUUAUUAAAAACACAGCACUGUGCAAACACGAAAGUGGACGUAUACGGUGUGACGCCUGCCCGGUGCCGGAAGGUUAAUUGAUGGGGUUAUCCGUAAGGAGAAGCUCUUGAUCGAAGCCCCGGUAAACGGCGGCCGUAACUAUAACGGUCCUAAGGUAGCGAAAUUCCUUGUCGGGUAAGUUCCGACCUGCACGAAUGGCGUAAUGAUGGCCAGGCUGUCUCCACCCGAGACUCAGUGAAAUUGAACUCGCUGUGAAGAUGCAGUGUACCCGCGGCAAGACGGAAAGACCCCGUGAACCUUUACUAUAGCUUGACACUGAACAUUGAGCCUUGAUGUGUAGGAUAGGUGGGAGGCUUUGAAGCGUGGACGCCAGUCUGCGUGGAGCCAACCUUGAAAUACCACCCUUUAAUGUUUGAUGUUCUAACGUUGGCCCCUGACCGGGGUUGCGGACAGUGUCUGGUGGGUAGUUUGACUGGGGCGGUCUCCUCCCAAAGCGUAACGGAGGAGCACGAAGGUUAGCUAAUCCUGGUCGGACAUCAGGAGGUUAGUGCAAUGGCAUAAGCUAGCUUGACUGCGAGCGUGACGGCGCGAGCAGGUGCGAAAGCAGGUCAUAGUGAUCCGGUGGUUCUGAAUGGAAGGGCCAUCGCUCAACGGAUAAAAGGUACUCCGGGGAUAACAGGCUGAUACCGCCCAAGAGUUCAUAUCGACGGCGGUGUUUGGCACCUCGAUGUCGGCUCAUCACAUCCUGGGGCUGAAGUAGGUCCCAAGGGUAUGGCUGUUCGCCAUUUAAAGUGGUACGCGAGCUGGGUUUAGAACGUCGUGAGACAGUUCGGUCCCUAUCUGCCGUGGGCGCUGGAGAAUUGAGGGGCUGCUCCUAGUACGAGAGGACCGGAGUGGACGCAUCACUGGUGUUCGGGUUGUCAUGCCAAUGGCACUGCCCGGUAGCUAAAUGCGGAAGAGAUAAGUGCUGAAAGCAUCUAAGCACGAAACUUGCCCCGAGAUGAGUUCUCCUGAGACUUUAAGUCUCCUGAAGGAACGUUGAAGACGACGACGUUGAUAGGCCGGGUGUGUAAGCGCAGCGAUGCGUUGAGCUAACCGGUACUAAUGAACCGUGAGGCUUAACCUU